AUAACUGUCGUAGUGGCCAUAAUAGAAGCAUUCAUGUUGCAACUCCUGUCAGAUUCCAACAGAUCUGAUAAAUUCUGCC
rnacentral:ribozyme from 1 species